rnacentral:pre_miRNA from 12 species
ACAUCCUGUGAAUACUGUAUUUUUGAUUUGCAUUUGAUUGAAAAAAUUGUGUAUGUAAGUGGACCCAUGUUGUUCAAGGGUCAACUGUAUACAUAUG